UGAGGAAUAUUGCGCAAUGGGGGCAACCCUGACGCAGCAACGCCGCGUGAGUGAGGAUGGUUUUCGGACCGUAAAGCUCUGUCGAGCGGGAAGAAAUGCAUGGUGGCUAAUAUCCAUCAUGCUUGACAGUACCGCUAAAGGAAGCACCGGCUAACUCCGUGCCAGCAGCCGCGGUAAUACGGGGGGUGCGAGCGUUGUUCGGAAUUAUUGGGCGUAAAGAGCGUGUAGGCGGCCGAAUAAGUCAGAUGUGACAUCCCUGGGCUUAACCCAGGACGUGCAUUUGAAACUAUUCGGCUGGAGUAGGGGAGAGGAAAGUGGAAUUCCUGGUGUAGAGGUGAAAUUCGUAGAUAUCAGGAGGACCACCGGUGGCGAAGGCGACUUUCUGGCCCUAUACUGACGCUGAGACGCGAGAGCGUGGGUAGCAAACAG
rnacentral:rRNA from 1 species